rnacentral:rRNA from 1 species
GAACGCUAGCGGCAGGCUUAACACAUGCAAGUCGAGGGGCAGCAUGAUGUAGCAAUACAUUGAUGGCGACCGGCGCAAGGGUGCGUAACGCGUGAGUAACAUGCCCGUAUCGAGGGGGAUAACCCGAAGAAAUUCGGACUAAUACCCCAUAGUAAUUUGUGGAGGCAUCUCUAUGAAUUUAAAGCUCCGGCGGAUACGGAUUGACUCGCGUGACAUUAGCUAGAUGGUAAGGUAGCGGCUUACCAUGGCGACGAUGUCUAGGGGAACUGAGAGGUUGGUCCCCCACACUGGAACUGAGACACGGUCCAGACUCCUACGGGAGGCAGCAGUGAGGAAUAUUGGACAAUGGAAGGAAUUCUGAUCCAGCCAUGCCGCGUGAAGGAUUACAGCCCUAUGGGUUUAAACUUCUUUUGUAUGUGAGCAAUAAGUCUUACGAGUAGGACGAUGAGAGUAGCAUACGAAUAAGCAUCGGCUAACUCCGUG